ACUUAUAUAGUUUAAACAAAAACAUUUCAUUUUCAAUGAUAAAAUAAAUAUUUAUAUUUUAUAAGUA
rnacentral:tRNA from 1 species